GGACUACUAGGGUUUCUAAUCCUGUUUGCUCCCCACGCUUUCGUGCAUGAGCGUCAGUAUUGGCCCAGGGGGCUGCCUUCGCCAUCGGUAUUCCUCCACAUCUCUACGCAUUUCACUGCUACACGUGGAAUUCUACCCCCCUCUGCCAUACUCUAGCCUGCCAGUCACCAAUGCAGUUCCCAGGUUGAGCCCGGGGAUUUCACAUCGGUCUUAGCAAACCGCCUGCGCACGCUUUACGCCCAGUAAUUCCGAUUAACGCUUGCACCCUACGUAUUACCGCGGCUGCUGGCAC
rnacentral:misc_RNA from 1 species